rnacentral:rRNA from 1 species
GCGUGAGUGAUGAAGGCCCUAGGGUUGUAAAACUCUUUCGCACGCGACGAUAAUGACGGUAGCGUGAGAAGAAGCUCCGGCUAACUUCGUGCCAGCAGCCGCGGUAAUACGAAGGGGGCUAGCGUUGUUCGGAAUUACUGGGCGUAAAGCGCGCGCAGGCGGUCCAUCAAGUCAGGGGUGAAAGCCCGGAGCUCAACUCCGGAAUGGCCUCUGAAACUGAUGAACUUGAGUACGGGAGAGGUGAGUGGAAUUCCGAGUGUAGAGGUGAAAUUCGU